rnacentral:rRNA from 1 species
UACGGAGGUGGCGAGCGUUACUCGGAUUCAUUGGGUGUAAAGGGCAGGUAGGUGGCUAUGUGUGUUGAGGGUGAAAUCCUUUGGCUCAACCAAAGAACUGCCUUCAAAACUACAUAGCUUGAGGUUGGAAGAGGAGAACGGAAUUCCCGGUGUAGGAGUGAAAUCUGUAGAUAUCGGGAGGAACACCAGCGGCGAAGGCGGUUCUCUGGUCCAAUCCUGACACUCAGCUGCGAAAGCUAGGGGAGCAAACAGGAUUAGAUACCCUGGUAGUCCUAGCCGUAAACGAUGAGCACUAGGUGUUUGGGCGUAAGCCUGGGCGCCGCAAGAUAACUCGUUAAGUGCUCCACCUGGGGACUACGACCGCAAGGUUAAAACUCAAAGGAAUUGACGGGGGUCCGCACAAGCGGUGGAACAUGUGGUUCAAUUCGACGCUACGCGAAGAACCUCACCAGGGCUUGACAUGCUAUCAGUAAUCCGGCCGAAAGGUUGGAUGACCGUAAAAUCGGAGGGUAGCACAGGUGUUGCAUGGCUGUCGUCAGCUCGUGUCGUGAGAUGUUGGGUUAAGUCCCGCAACGAGCGCAACCAUCGUCCUUAGUUGCCACUCUUAAGCCGCAAGGCUGAUAGAAGCACUCUAAAGAGACUGCCUGUGAUAAGCAGGAGGAAGGUGGAGAUGACGUCAAGUCAGUACGGCCUAUAUGUCCUGGGCUACACACGUGUUACAAUGCCCACUACAGAGCGUUGCCAAACCGCGAGGUGGAGCUAAUCGCUAAAAGUGGGCUCAGUUCAGAUUGGAGUCUGCAAUUCGACUCCAUGAAGACGGAGUCGCUAGUAACGGCGGAUCAGCUACGCCGCCGUGAAUACGUUCCCGGACCU